AAAGAACUGAAAUUCGGCAAUAACAAUUGUAACACUAACACAUCUGUAAUUGACAAUAAACAUUAGGAUCCAAAUAUCCUAUCAUGUCAUGAUAAGUAUACAUCUUAUCAUACAGUAUCAGCAGCUAAAUAAUAACUACUUAACUUAUCAAUCCAGAAACUGAAAAAAAAUAGAAAUUAAUAAAGCAAAUCAUGUCCAUUAAAUUAUGUUCCUUGAAUCACAGUCCACCUAGCAAUCGAUCAAUGACAUCAACACCUAGAAUUAUGUCCAGCAACUAGACGAACCCAGAAACUCAAAUCUAGAAAUACAAAAAGUGAUCAGCAAUGCCUGCAAAAAGCAACAACUCCCCAGCACAACAAUCUCAAUGAUAUAAAAUUUUCACACUAACACCUCGCAAUUUUUUUAGUAUUUUUAAAAUUUACAUUCAUUCAAGAUAUAAAUUCCCAAAUCAUAAGUUCACAUUUGCCACAAAAUACAUUAAACACAGCAAGAAAAUGGGCAAAGCCCUCGAGCCAACAAGGUCACAAAAGGCACCAACUCAAACUGCACAGUCUAUUAAAUGAAAAAACAAGAAAGCAAAUGAAACCCAUGUGCAUGAUAGAAGGCAGCCAAAAGUCAACAUGAGAUCAUCACAGAAAAAGAAUAAUCACAAAUCACUAGAAAUAUAUAAGCUCAGCCAACACAUAGAAUACUCCUCUUCUGUCAAAUUAGGGAGGAAUAAAGAACCUGAAUAAUAAAAAAGAAAAAAAGCAAAGGCAGCCGAAAAGAUUAAUUCUAAUAUGAAGAACUACCUUCUCAAAAGCACCAGCUUCACUUCUAGGGACGCUGUACCAACAUUUUGGAAUCCCCCCUCUGCCAUAAGAGAAGCAGUGAUAAUCAACUUUCUACCAAAGCAAUUUAAAAUUUUAGCUAGCAGUACAUUGCAAACCAUGAAAGAGGCAUGUACCACGCUGAGCCACCAGAAGUAUAAGAAAAUGAGAAAUCGAAAAUCCAUUCUACUUAUUCAGUUUUGGAUGUUUAAAUGAAAUUAAAAAAAAAACAAAAUAAAAAAACCACGAUGAUUAAUGAGCAAUUGAAGCGCCUUGUAAAGGAGAAAUUAUAGAAUACCUCUGAUGUAUUACAACCAAUUAAUGCAUGUAUAACACGUGUAAUUGAAUUUAAUAUAACUACUACUUAUACGAUGAUUUUUUUAAAAUAAACACACAAAUAUUAUAAUAUUAUUUAUUUAUUGUAUGGCUGACAUGGUACCUCUGAUAUAUUCUAUAUUUUCUCCUUCUAAAGAGAAAUAGAACUCCCAAUACCAAUAAGUAUUAAAAGGACAACUCAUCUCGAUCUACCGAGUAUCAACUUUCUUUACAAGUCGGUGGUGGUAGAGUCUGCUAAAGUAAUAAUUUCAAUGCAUUAAUUCAUUUAAAAAAUUAAUAAGGAGUUCAUAAGAUGAAAAACUGGAAGGGAAAAUAAAAGGGACCAAUAAUGUGUUUGCUCGAAGAGAACACUACCAAAAAAAAAACACCAGGGAUAAAUCAGCAUGGAUGCAUACUAGUGAUAAUAAUUCAUUCAGUGAAAACAGUGAUCUUUAAAAUGCCAUCAAGAAGGUGAGAACAACAUGCCAGGAUAAAGCCAAGGCACUAGAACCCUAGUAAUGUUAUGAUGAACCAUUCAAAGUAUUAAACCUUCCAACCCUAUUAGGUUAUCUAGAUUCCAUGGGCUAUUACAAUAUUCAUUCCAUACAUUAGCAUCCACGGAUUCUGGUUUAUGGUCACAUACACGAGGAAAACCACUUCCAUAAAUGGAAGUGUCCAAGUCACCGCUAUAUAUAACUUCAACGUUACCAGCUGAGACCAAAACUGACACUUGAAUCAAAUCAAGAUUGGCUCUGAUUGAUUCCAGUUUCGUAGCUCAGAUUAAUUCAAACCAAAGUGGAGAUGUCAAUCUAAACUUUGGUAAUGUACCAACAAAAUUCAAUUAAAUUUUCUUUCUAUUUUUAAAGUUAAUUUUCUAACUGUAAUAUCCACUUUAAUCUAAGAAUCUAUCAAGAUAGACCAGAGACAUGCUCAAUCAACUACUCAAUCAAUUAGACAUGCUAGAAAUUAGUCAAAAUCAAUUAAAUCAAGCCAAAUAAACAACUAAAUCAACUCAAUCAACUAGGGUUUCGAAUCAAUAAAUCAUAAAGAAAUGAAAUUGAGUUCAAAUCUAGGGUUUCGAUUACCAAGUAUUUCCAAGUAAAGAAACGAGAUUGAGUGUAAAUCUAGAGUUAAUAGAUUUUGUAAAAAAAAAAAAAAAAAACCUUAAAUGAAUAAAGAAUAGGAGAAAUUUAGUUACCAAAUACGAGCUUUCUUCUCAAUUUAAUAGAUUCAUUUAAGGUGAUUUUGAUGAUGGAAUAUAAUUUUGGUGAUGUCUAUAACAAAAAUCUUAACAUAUUUAUUUAUGAGUGCUGAGAGAGAAUAGUACAAUUUUAAUUAUAUUGAAAAUC
rnacentral:lncRNA from 1 species